CCUGCAGAACGCGUAUUAGCACGUCGCGGGCCGCUCCCACGUCGGGACCGACAGGCCUAGCCUGCCAGCCGCAUCGUGGGCCUGCUGGACAGCCCAACGUUGCUCAGCCAGGAGUGGGUUGCGGAGGGCCGCCUCCCACCUAGCUGACUUGAGUGGUGUCAGGAACACAAGAGACGUGCAAGGAGUAGAAGAUACGUUUAACUCGGAGAUGAAGGUCUGUUGCAAACGUCAUCGCUUCCACCGAUGAAAAAUAUUCUUCAAGAACAGCAGACGCUCCGGAGGCAUCAAGUACGACGCCACCAUUUUGAAAACGUCGCAUGACGACAACUUCGUUUGC